rnacentral:rRNA from 1 species
CCUACGGGCGGCAGCAGUGGGGAAUAUUGCACAAUGGGGGAAACCCUGAUGCAGCGACGCCGCGUGAGUGAAGAAGUAAUUCGUUAUGUAAAGCUCUAUCAGCAGGGAAGAAAAUGACGGUACCUGAGUAAGAAGCCCCGGCUAACUACGUGCCAGCAGCCGCGGUAAUACGUAGGGAGCAAGCGUUAUCCGGAUUUACUGGGUGUAAAGGGCGCGUAGACGGGAGUGCAAGUCUGGAGUGAAAGGCGAGGGCUCAACCCCAGGACUGCACUGGAAACUGUACGGCUGGAGUGCAGGAGAGGUAAGUGGAAUGCCUGGUGUAGCGGUGAAAUGCGUAGAUAUUAGGAGGAACACCAGUUGCGAAGGCGGCUUACUGGACCGUAACUGACGUUGAGGCGCGAAAGCGUGGGGAGCAAACAGGAUUAGAUACCCCUGUAGUC